CCUGUGGACUGUCGCAUCCACUCCGGUACGCACCGCGCGAGCGGGCGGAAAGAGGACAGGUAGAAGCAGGAA
rnacentral:ncRNA from 23 species